rnacentral:tRNA from 1 species
GGUGGCUCAGCCGUAGAGCACCUGCCUUGCAUGCAUGAGGUCCUGGGUUUGACCCCUGGCACCA